rfam:Camelus ferus unplaced genomic scaffold scaffold576, whole genome shotgun sequence.
GAGGGUACAGCUCAGUGGUAGAGCAUGUGCUUAGCAUGCACAAGGUCAUGGGUUCAUUCCCCAGUACCUACA